rnacentral:rRNA from 1 species
GACAAACGCUGGCGGCAUGCCUAACACAUGCAAGUCGAACGGACAGAACAGGGAAGCUUUUCGGAGUGGAACUGGAAAGUUAGUGGCGGAUGGGUGAGUAACGCGUGGACAACCUACCUUGUAAAGGGGAAUAACCUCGAGAAAUCGAAGCUAAUACCCCAUAAUAACCUUGCUUCGCAUGAAGUAAGGAGGAAAGGCGGCCUUAGCGCUGUCGAUACAAGAUGGGUCCGCGUCUGAUUAGCUAGUUGGUGAGGUAAAGGCUCACCAAGGCGACGAUCAGUAGCCGGCCUGAGAGGGUGAACGGCCACAUUGGGACUGAGACACGGCCCAAACUCCUACGGGAGGCAGCAGUGGGGAAUCUUCCGCAAUGGGCGAAAGCCUGACGGAGCAAUGCCGCGUGAGUGAAGAAGGCCUUCGGGUUGUAAAACUCUGUCCUUAUCGAAGAGAGAGUGUUGUAGUAACUGACAAUACUAGGACGGUAGAUGAGGAGGAAGCCCCGGCUAACUAUG